AAUCCCAGUGAUGCAAUUUUAUACCAUGCUAAUUCUGAUAAACCCAUGAUCGAUAACUUUCACUAUUGAUUAGCUGAGGGUUCU
rfam:Spinacia oleracea cultivar SynViroflay scaffold86912.con0001.1, whole genome shotgun sequence.